GACGAACGCUGGCGGCGUGCCUAAUACAUGCAAGUAGAACGCUGAAACUUGGUGCUUGCACCGAGCGGAUGAGUUGCGAACGGGUGAGUAACGCGUAGGUAACCUGCCUGGUAGCGGGGGAUAACUAUUGGAAACGAUAGCUAAUACCGCAUAAGAGUAGAUGUUGCAUGACAUUUGCUUAAAAGGUGCAAUUGCACCACUACCAGAUGGACCUGCGUUGUAUUAGCUAGUUGGUGGGGUAACGGCUCACCAAGGCGACGAUACAUAGCCGACCUGAGAGGGUGAUCGGCCACACUGGGACUGGGACACGGCCCAGACUCCUACGGGAGGCAGCAGUAGGGAAUCUUCGGAAAUGGACGGAAGUCUGACCGAGCAACGCCGCGUGAGUGAAGAAGGUUUUCGGAUCGUAAAGCUCUGUUGUAAGAGAAGAACGAGUGUGAGAGUGGAAAGUUCACACUGUGACGGUAUCUUACCAGAAAGGGACGGCUAACUACGUG
rnacentral:rRNA from 1 species